ensembl:lncRNA
CACGAGGCAGACUCAGCCUCGCAAACAGAAGGAGACUGAGGGUUCAAGCUCCGGGAGCAAAUGUCCCAAGUGCUGCCUGCAGACACGGAACUGUCUGAUGAGCCCGGAGUGCGGCAGGGCCCUUCAGAUCUCCAGCGUCGUGGCCUGGUGUGGAAUGUGCAUCCGCCUGUUUGUGUAAGCUGACCUUGAACAUCCAGACCAGUUUCUUAAGGAUGCUUUACUGUCAUUCAGAGGGAUUGCUGAGACAUCACGAGAACGAACUGGAGGUGCGGACGGACGACCCCAAAACCCAAUUGGUCCAGCCUAGUCUGUCGGCGACACGACACACACGAUUAUAAACAAGCGAACCUGACGACGUGAAGAGGAAUGUUACAGUGAAACCCAAGCAUCUUCUCUAGAAUAAUGAGUAAGAUGAAAAAUGUAUGAAGGAAUGAAAAACUUGAAAUAACGUUUGCAGGAACAAGGACAAGUGUACUUCAUCCAACACAAAUAAUGAGAGACCUCUGGUUAAUUAAAAGCCUUGGACCACCCUGAUGAUCUUCGUGGCAUGGUCAUUUUGAGAGAGGGGCUCAUUGUGAACAUAACAAGCGAGCUAGCAAAGAAUAGAUUUCAUUUUUUGUGAUGAUUUCACAAGGCAACAAUAACAUUACUGCCUCUUUGUGUCUUCUUUUCCAUCACACAAAGGGUAUAAACUGAGGACAAAUGCAUACA